rnacentral:rRNA from 1 species
AGAGCGAACGCUGGCGGCAUGCUUAACACAUGCAAGUCGCACGGGCACUUCGGUGUCAGUGGCGGACGGGUGAGUAACGCGUAGGUAUCUAUCCUUGGGUGGGGGACAACGGUUGGAAACGACUGCUAAUACCGCAUGAUAACUGAGGUUUAAAGGCGCAAGUCGCCUGAGGAGGAGCCUGCGUACGAUUAGCUAGUUGGUGGGGUAAAGGCCUACCAAGGCGACGAUCGUUAGCUGGUCUGAGAGGAUGAUCAGCCACAUUGGGACUGAGACACGGCCCAAACUCCUACGGGAGGCAGCAGUGGGGAAUAUUGGACAAUGGGCGAAAGCCUGAUCCAGCAAUGCCGCGUGUGUGAAGAAGGUCUUCGGAUUGUAAAGCACUUUCGACAGGGACGAUGAUGACGGUACCUGUAGAAGAAGCCCGGCUAACUUCGCGCCAGCAGCCGC